rnacentral:rRNA from 1 species
AUGAAAGCCAUUGCUUGGAAUUGCCGAGGUAUGGGUCGGAACCUUGGCAAUGAUCGUAUGGUCUUUCUGGCCAACUUGAUUCGUUCCACUAAAGCGCAGGUAACUUUUGUUUUGGAAAUCAAAUCCUCCAAAGUUCGUUCUGUUGAUCUUGUUAAUAGGUUUGAUGUUACUAAUGCUUUUGUUGUCCCCUCUAGAGGUGCUUCAGGAGGGCUCUGGCUCAUGUGGAAUGAUGAGCUCAAAGUUUCUGUUUAUAGUGCUUCCUUUCACUGUGUUCUAGCUAAUGUAGUUCACCUAGUCUCAGGAGUUCAAUUUUGUUUGAUCUGUAUAUAUGGUGACCCCUAUCAUAGGCAGAUUACUGCCAUUUGGAGUCAAGUUUCAUCUUUUGUUUAUGAUCAUCUGGGUAUGCCCAUGAUGUGUAUGGGUGAUCUUAACGACAUCUUGUAUGAUACGGAUGGGCAUAAUGGCAAUGUUAAUUACUAUCGUAUGACUACUUUUCGUUCGCUUGUUAAAAAUUGUGGUUUCUUUGAUAUAGGCUUUAGUGGUCCUGCGUAUACUUGGCGUAGUAAGCAGCACACUCCUUAUCCCAUUUACAGGCGCCUUGAUCGUUGCUUGGUUAAUUCUGAAUGGUGUAUGCAUUAUCCUAAUACCAAGGUUCUUAAUUUGCCUAUUAUCCUCAGUGAUCAUGCUCCCAUUUUAGUAUCUACUGAUGGCAAUUUUGUUAGGCCCAAGCAAACGUUUAAAUUUGAAAACUGGUGGUUGAUGGAGAAGGACUUCAUUGAUUUUGCUAAAUCUGCUUGGAACAAUUGUUCACUUACUUCUUUUGCAGCCAAAACCUCUUCUUUGGCAGGCUCUUUAAAGAUGUGGUGCAGGAAAAAAAAAGCCUCUCCAGCACGAUCUUUCGGAACUUGA